GACGAACGCUGGCGGCGUGCUUAACACAUGCAAGUCGAACGGAAAGGCCCUGCGCUUGCGGGGUGCACGAGUGGCGAACGCGUGAGUAACACGCGAGUAACCUGCCCUUGACUUUGGGAUAAAUCCAGGAAACAGGGGCUAAUACAGGAUAGGAGCUCCUGCUGCAUGGUGGGGGUUGGAAAGUUUCGGCUGUUGGGGAUGGUAUCGCGGCUUAUCAGCUUGUUUGUGGGGUAGUGGCUUACAAAGGCUUUGACGGGUAGCAGGCCUUGGAGCGUGACCGGCCACAAGAGGCCUGAGAGACGGCGCAGACUCCUACGGGACGCAACAGUGGAGAGUCUUGCGCAGUGGGCCGGCGUCUGAUACAACAGCGCCGCGUGCGUGAAGACCGCUUUCGGGUGAUGAACCGCUUUCGACUGUGACGAGGCGUGCGUGACGGUAAUGAAUAAAAAAGCAACGGCUAACUACGUG
rnacentral:rRNA from 1 species